rnacentral:rRNA from 1 species
GGAGGAAAGCAGGGGAUCGCAAGACCUUGCGCUCUUGGAGCGGCCGAUGUCUGAUUAGCUAGUUGGUGAGGUAAAGGCUUACCAAGGCGACGAUCAGUAGCUGGUCUGAGAGGACGACCAGCCACACUGGGACUGAGACACGGCCCAGACUCCUACGGGAGGCAGCAGUGGGGAAUUUUGGACAAUGGGGGAAACCCUGAUCCAGCCAUGCCGCGUGAGUGAAGAAGGCCUUCGGGUUGUAAAGCUCUUCCAGCCGGAACGAAACGGUCACGGCUAAUACCUGUGACUACUGACGGUACCGGAAGAAGAAGCACCGGCUAACUACGUGCCAGCAGCCGCGGUAAUACGUAGGGUGCAAGCGUUAAUCGGAAUUACUGGGCGUAAAGCGUGCGCAGGCGGUUUUGUAAGUCAGAUGUGAAAUCUCCGGGCUUAACCUGGGAACUGCGUUUGAAACUACAAAGCUAG